UACGGGGGGGGCAAGCGUUGUUCGGAAUUACUGGGCGUAAAGGGUGCGUAGGCAGCUUUCUAAGUUGGAUGUGAAAACUCUGGGCUCAACCCAGAGACUGCAUCCAAAACUGGAGAGCUUGGGUUCUGGAGGGGAAAGCGGAAUUCCUGGUGUAGCGGUGAAAUGCGUAGAUAUCAUUUGGAACGCCAAUGGUGAAAACAGGUUGCUGGGGGUGUGCUGACGCUGAGACACGAAAGCCAGGGGAGCGAACGGG
rnacentral:rRNA from 1 species